GCCUUGGGGUAGCUCAGUUGGUAGAGCAUGUGACUCUUAAUCUUAGGGUUGUGAGUUUGAGUCCCACGUUGGGCU